AUUGAACGCUGGCGGCAUGCUUUACACAUGCAAGUCGAACGGUAACAGGCCGCAAGGUGCUGACGAGUGGCGAACGGGUGAGUAAUGCAUCGGAACGUGCCCAGUCGUGGGGGAUAACGCAGCGAAAGCUGCGCUAAUACCGCAUACGAUCUGUGGAUGAAAGCGGGGGACCGUAAGGCCUCGCGCGAUUGGAGCGGCCGAUGUCAGAUUAGGUAGUUGGUGGGGCAAAGGCUCACCAAGCCGACGAUCUGUAGCUGGUCUGAGAGGACGACCAGCCACACUGGGACUGAGACACGGCCCAGACUCCUACGGGAGGCAGCAGUGGGGAAUUUUGGACAAUGGGGGCAACCCUGAUCCAGCAAUGCCGCGUGCAGGAAGAAGGCCUUCGGGUUGUAAACUGCUUUUGUACGGAACGAAAAGGCUCUGGUUAAUACCCGGAGUUAAUGACGGUACCGUAAGAAUAAGCACCGGCUAACUACGUGCCAGCCGCCGCCGUAACAC
rnacentral:rRNA from 1 species